CCAAUAGCGUAUAUUAAGGUUGCUGCGGUUAAAAAGCUCGUAGUUGAAUUUCGGAAUUGAUGCAUCGGUCGUGCCUUAAGGGGCAUGAACUGGUGUAGCCAAUUUCUCACCUUCUGGUGAAUUGUGAUGUUCUUAAUGGGUGUCUCAAUGAACUAGAAUUUUUUACUUUGAAAAAAUUAGAGUGUUUAAAGCAGGCAUUU
rnacentral:rRNA from 1 species